rnacentral:lncRNA from 1 species
AGGGGUGAACAAGAAGAGGCGUGAAUUAAGGAAAGGAUAAGUAUGACUUGGAUGUGAGAGUCUCACCCAAAUCCAAAUCAAAGGAGGCGUUGAAGAGGAUAGGCAUCUCACCUUUUCCUUCAGCCUUUUGGCGUUGCACCAAGGGAAGAAUCACUCCUCGCAUGAAGCAAAACAAGAAUUUUUAAAACAGUAAAAACUGAUUUCAUUCUUCAUACUUUUUCUUAUAUAGAGAGAGAGGUUGGUAAAGAUAAGAAGUUACAACCAGAAAUUUUAUUUGGACUCCUAACCACAUAAGGACUCUUUUAAAAUUCAAAUCUCCUAAUUGACCAACUAAACAACUUGCCAACUAAGGCUUGGCCACUCAUGGAAACCCUUCUUGGCGUGCAGAUUGGAGCAUAGGAAGAAAGGAGUCAUCUGCAAGCAAGAGUCCUACUCCGAGUGGAAUUCCUUCUUGCCACAUGAGAUCAAGUCCUAAUGUGAUUAGGACUCUCUCCUUUAUGACACGUGGCCACUCCUACAUAACCAAUGACCUAUUCAACACCUUGGAUUCAAUUUGGUUAGGCAUUAAAGACACUAACCCAUUAUGAAUUAAAUCACUUAUUACAUGGACUCAAUCUCACUACAACUUGGACUCAAAUUUUCCUUACACGCCUAGACCCAAUGUUCCAUGCCUAAGGAGAAUUGAGGGUGAUGCUCCUACUUCAAUUUUUCCCGGCUGGAAAAAGACUCGACUCUAUCGAGUUUUGCGACUGAUAGAGCUCGUACAAGUUUGGGUUCAGCCAUUGGACUUCCUUCGUCUUCAACCAGGUGCAAUCUAAAAUUGGUCGAUCCUUCCAUUUAACUAAAAACUUCUAAUAUCCUUCUCGGCGAGUGGACACGAUCUGAUCAUCCAAGAUAUCUUCAAUAGUGUCUUUCGGGGCAGAUCGUCGAGGAAGUGAUGAUGGUACAGAUGGGAUGUCUUCAUCUUCAGCAUAGUAUCCAUCGUAG